UGUACAAUUACCGUUACAUCACUAAUGUUCGUGUACUUAAUUUAUGUUUAUUGAGAUAUUUAUUUUCGUGUACUCAUUUGGAAUCGCUUUUUUUCGCGUACAUCUUUUGAGCGAGCCUCCUUUCACGGAUCAUUUCAGCUUGCUUCUAUAUGACGCGGUAUCAUUAUGGCGUAUCAGUUAUCAUAUAUAUAUAUAUAUAUAUAUAUUUAUGUUAUAUUUGAAUUACCUUCAAUCAAAAGUAAGGAUUGUAUCAUCACUAAAUAGUCGAAUAACAACAAUAAAUAAAAACAUGUUGGUGCUAAGCAGUAAGCACUUCUUAAUUUCUGUUCUUGAUGGGACAUGGGAUCCGUUCUGUUGACUUUGUGUAUGCAGUAUGUCUGCCUUGAGCCUUGAAAUAGACUCUCAUAUUAUGUCGGAGGAGUCUGACUCUUCAAACAACACAAUAGCCAAUAUCUUUUAGUGGUUCGAAAUAAGAUGUCAAGAAAUACUUAUCACUGGUCCUAACCAACGUGUUGUAAAGGGGAAGAAGCUCUUGCUCUUCCAAUGUGCUGAGACUGAAGUUUACUCUCCCCUAACGGCUUAAGAGGAUGUUGUGUCUUGACGAGGCUGAGGGGACUCAAACUAUUUAUACAAAGGAAUCCAGGAGGACCGAGAGAAUUGCGGAGAGGAAAGACGUCGAGGAAUAACACAAGGCUUGUUUAAUUGGAACAAUUAUAUUCUUAUUAGUACAAAACACAACUCUGAUUUUAUAAAUAGAAUACAUAACAGAGGAUAAUUGGAGUGAGAGGUGAGAUGAUGAAAAGUUAUUGGAUCGAGGGGGAGUUCCUGUUCUAGAGGUUAGAAACUGGGGAGGAAGAGUAUUUCGAUAACUAUUUGGUAGGACUAUGUAUGCAAUCUGAAGAUUUUGAAGAUCAGACCCUACUUAACAUGAAAAUAGUGGGGGGGGGGGAGUGCUGUAUUUUGUUAUAUAUUACCCUCAGCAGAAUGCCCUAGCGAAUAUUGCCUCAUAACCAAGAAUUCUAACUCAUCAAUUAAACAAUAUUAUAUAUUUAUGGUUUCUAUAUCGAGCUUCCUCGUUUGAAUGUGGUAAAUCGGCUAGUGAGGUGUUAAAGAGAUGCGGAUAAGGGUUGAUGGUCAACUCUGUGGACUAAAAAGAUUCCUGACGUCUUCUACUCUUAUCCAAAUUUGGUUGAUCUAUUUUGCAUUAGAAUAAACUCAUAUAUUAUAUAGUAACUUCUUGUAUUCCACCUCUAAGGGAUGUUACGGGUCAAAGAUGAGACACCGUACUUCAUUAUUUAUCUCUAGUCUUAAACUAUUUCAUGCUUCAAUAAACUCUUUUAACUUUCUGCAAUCAUAUAAAUCAUUCAGUUUUGCAUCUCCAUAAUGCGCUUAUGAUUUGGUGCUUGAUGCAGUAUGUUCGAAAAAUGGAUACUUAGGAACUUUUUGAAUUCAUUUAUGUAUCAUGGAGAUUAGGCCGUGCUCUUUUAUUGCAAAUUCAACCUAAAUCUGCCGAUAUAUAUUUAUUAAUCUUUUUUUUGUAUAAUAUUUAACUAUUUAAAGAAUUGCCAACGAAAAGACUUGGAUUUUAUAUAUUCUGUAGAAGUGGAUAGAUUAAGAAGGACAUCUAUUAGUUAGAGUCGAAGAAGACCUAUAUUGUUAAAUUACAAUAAAACAAAUAUUUAAAUGAUAAUCAGCAAAUAAAAUUUUCUGAAGCAUACCCAUAUUAAUAUUGUUUGAACAGUUUGUAACAAACCAAUAGUAGUUCUACGACUGAUAAUAAUAAUAAUUUUGAUAACUCGCAUUACUACAAUCACAAUAAUGAAAUAGCAUUGUUCUGUCAAAAUAAAAUUGAAGGAAUCAAUCAGAUACAAAAA
rnacentral:lncRNA from 1 species